rnacentral:lncRNA from 1 species
AUGCUGAAAAGCCAACUUCAUCUUUUGCAGUUAUGCCCUAUGGUAUCUGGAAGCUAUCUGGAAACAUUGUUUUGCUUUGGUAGUGUAACUGAAAGAGUCCUGGAAUUGGAAAACAAAAUCCAGAAGUUGAGUUCCAUGGCUUUUUUGCUGUUUGUCUUUGGACUUGCGUCAUUUAUAUUUUUAAUUCAACGAGGAUGAGAAAGUUGAUUAACAUAAAAUCUUUUCAUGUCUGUUUCUGAUGAGAGACUAGCUGAAUCCAAGAAGAGAAGCCCUUGAAUAGUGUAUUGAAUACUAGACAAACAUUCACACAUUGGCUUCUUUGGUGCCAGGUAAUUAGAAUUUGUAAUUUGGUCUUAAUUAAAUUGCAGACUACCCAAAGGCCUUGAUCAGUGGCCUUUUGACUGCCUCCACCCUGUUUGGAGGAAACCAACAAAACACAAAUUAGCCUUUAAAAAUAUGCCCAUUGAUUUCUCCUCAUCUCCCCAAACAUAUCCUAC